GAUGAACGCUGGCGGCGUGCCUAAUACAUGCAAGUCGAACGGAGAUUGUAGCAAUACGGUCUUAGUGGCGAACGGGUGAGUAACGCGUUGGUAACCUGCCCCGAAGCGUGGGAUAACGGUCCGAAAGGGCCACUAAUACCACAUGUGAUCCCGAGGAAUAGAUACUUGGGAUGAAAGGAGCAAUUCGCUUCGGGAGGGACCUGCGUCCCAUCAGCUAGUUGGUAGGGUAACGGCCUACCAAGGCGAUGACGGGUAGGGGACCUGAGAGGGUGGCCCCCCACAAUGGAACUGAAACAACGGUCCAUACACCUACGGGUGGGCAGCAGUAGGGAAGUAUUGGUUAAUGUGCGAAAGACGCGAACCAGCAACGCCGCGUGUGCGAUGAAGGCCUUCGGUCGUAAAGACACUUUUGUCAGGAAGAGGAAGGACGGUACCGUGCAGAAUAAGUACUCGGCGUAACUACGUGCCAGCAGCCGCGGUAAACGUAAGCGUG
rnacentral:rRNA from 1 species